rnacentral:piRNA from 1 species
UGACAUGGAAAAGCAUCCAGGACUGUGU